rnacentral:rRNA from 1 species
UGCAAGUCGAACGGAAAGGCCCUUCGGGGUACUCGAGUGGCGAACGGGUGAGUAACACGUGGGUGAUCUGCCCUGCACUUUGGGAUAAGCCUGGGAAACUGGGUCUAAUACCGAAUAGGACCGCAUGCUUCAUGGUGUGUGGUGGAAAGCUUUUGCGGUGUGGGAUGGGCCCGCGGCCUAUCAGCUUGUUGGUGAGGUAAUGGCUUACCAAGGCGACGACGGGUAGCCGGCCUGAGAGGGUGACCGGCCACACUGGGACUGAGAUACGGCCCAGACUCCUACGGGAGGCAGCAGUGGGGAAUAUUGCACAAUGGGCGCAAGCCUGAUGCAGCGACGCCGCGUGAGGGAUGACGGCCUUCGGGUUGUAAACCUCUUUCGCCAGGGACGAAGCGCAAGUGACGGUACCUGGAGAAGAAGGACCGGCCAACUACGUGCCAGCAGCCGCGGUAAUACGUAGGGUCCGAGCGUUGUCCGGAAUUACUGGGCGUAAAGAGCUCGUAGGUGGUUUGUCGCGUUGUUCGUGAAAACUCACAGCUUAACUGUGGGCGUGCGGGCGAUACGGGCAGACUUGAGUACUGCAGGGGAGACUGGAAUUCCUGGUGUAGCGGUGGAAUGCGCAGAUAUCAGGAGGAACACCGGUGGCGAAGGCGGGUCUCUGGGCAGUAACUGACGCUGAGGAGCGAAAGCGUGGGGAGCGAACAGGAUUAGAUACCCUGGUAGUCCACGCCGUAAACGGUGGGUACUAGGUGUGGGUUUCCUUCCUUGGGAUCCGUGCCGUAGCUAACGCAUUAAGUACCCCGCCUGGGGAGUACGGCCGCAAGGCUAAAACUCAAAGAAAUUGACGGGGGCCCGCACAAGCGGCGGAGCAUGUGGAUUAAUUCGAUGCAACGCGAAGAACCUUACCUGGGUUUGACAUGCACAGGACGCCGGCAGAGAUGUCGGUUCCCUUGUGGCCUGUGUGCAGGUGGUGCAUGGCUGUCGUCAGCUCGUGUCGUGAGAUGUUGGGUUAAGUCCCGCAACGAGCGCAACCCUUGUCUCAUGUUGCCAGCACGUUAUGGUGGGGACUCGUGAGAGACUGCCGGGGUCAACUCGGAGGAAGGUGGGGAUGACGUCAAGUCAUCAUGCCCCUUAUGUCCAGGGCUUCACACAUGCUACAAUGGCCGGUACAAAGGGCUGCGAUGCCGUGAGGUGGAGCGAAUCCUUUCAAAGCCGGUCUCAGUUCGGAUCGGGGUCUGCAACUCGACCCCGUGAAGUCGGAGUCGCUAGUAAUCGCAGAUCAGCAACGCUGCGGUGAAUACGUUCCCGGGCCUUGUACACACCGCCCGUCACGUCAUGAAAGUCGGUAACACCCGAAGCCGGUGGCCUAACCCCUUGUG